UACAGAGGGGGCAAGCGUUGUCCGGAAUUAUUGGGCGUAAAGAGCUCGUAGGCGGUUUGUCGCGUCUGCUGUGAAAACUCGGGGCUUAACCCCGGGCCUGCAGUGGGUACGGGCAGACUAGAGUGCGGUAGGGGAGACUGGAAUUCCUGGUGUAGCGGUGAAAUGCGCAGAUAUCAGGAGGAACACCGGUGGCGAAGGCGGGUCUCUGGGCCGAUACUGACGCUGAGGAGCGAAAGCGUGGGGAGCGAACAGG
rnacentral:rRNA from 1 species